ACUGGGCUCUGUAACGUGGGCCUGUAACCCAAGUGGGAGUAAUAAAGUAAUGGAACUGUGUUAUUGUGAAUUACCCAUAAUGAAUUGUGCCGAGCACACGAUUGUAUGAAGGUCCGGUACAAUACUCUGGCAAGUAGAGAUUUUCCCUACCCGUUUGGGUAUUGUUAUCGGCUGACUUAACAGAGCAGUCGUGGGUAUGGUUCACCGCAUUGGGUGGGCAUUAAGGACUGGAUCUCAUAUUUGCGUUGGCUAUGGCCCAAUUCCUUAUGGGCUCAUAAUAAUUGGACCAUUACUUUU
rnacentral:SRP_RNA from 1 species